CAGGCUUAACACAUGCAAGUCGAGGGGCAUCAGGAAGAAAGCUUGCUUUCUUUGCUGGCGACCGGCGCACGGGUGAGUAACACGUAUCCAACCUGCCCUUUACUCGGGGAUAGCCUUUCGAAAGAAAGAUUAAUACCCGAUGGCAUAAUGAUUCCGCAUGGUUUCAUUAUUAAAGGAUUCCGGUAAAGGAUGGGGAUGCGUUCCAUUAGGUUGUUGGUGAGGUAACGGCCCACCAAGCCUUCGAUGGAUAGGGGUUCUGAGAGGAAGGUCCCCCACAUUGGAACUGAGACACGGUCCAAACUCCUACGGGAGGCAGCAGUGAGGAAUAUUGGUCAAUGGGCGGUAGCCUGAACCAGCCAAGUAGCGUGAAGGAUGAAGGCUCUAUGGGCCGUAAACUUCUUUUAUAUAAGAAUAAAGUGCAGUAUGUAUACUGUUUUGUAUGUAUUAUAUGAAUAAGGAUCGGCUAACUCCGUGCCAGCAGCCGCGGUAAUACGGAGGAUCCGAGCGUUAUCCGGAUUUAUUGGGUUUAAAGGGAGCGUAGGUGGACUGGUAAGUCAGUUGUGAAAGUUUGCGGCUCAACCGUAAAAUUGCAGUUGAUACUGUCAGUCUUGAGUACAGUAGAGGUGGGCGGAAUUCGUGGUGUAGCGGUGAAAUGCUUAGAUAUCACGAAGAACUCCGAUUGCGAAGGCAGCUCACUGGACUGCAACUGACACUGAUGCUCGAAAGUGUGGGUAUCAAACAGGAUUAGAUACCCUGGUAGUCCACUCAGUAAACGAUGAAUACUCGCUGUUUGCGAUAUACAGUAAGCGGCCAAGCGAAAGCAUUAAGUAUUCCACCUGGGGAGUACGCCGGCAACGGUGAAACUCAAAGGAAUUGACGGGGGCCCGCACAAGCGGAGGAACAUGUGGUUUAAUUCGAUGAUACGCGAGGAACCUUACCCGGGCUUAAAUUGCAGUGGAAUGAUGUGGAAACAUGUCAGUGAGCAAUCACCGCUGUGAAGGUGCUGCAUGGUUGUCGUCAGCUCGUGCCGUGAGGUGUCGGCUUAAGUGCCAUAACGAGCGCAACCCUUAUCUUCAGUUACUAACAGGUCAUGCUGAGGACUCUGGAGAGACUGCCGUCGUAAGAUGUGAGGAAGGUGGGGAUGACGUCAAAUCAGCACGGCCCUUACGUCCGGGGCUACACACGUGUUACAAUGGGGGGUACAGAAGGCAGCUAGCGGGUGACCGUAUGCUAAUCCCAAAAGCCUCUCUCAGUUCGGAUCGAAGUCUGCAACCCGACUUCGUGAAGCUGGAUUCGCUAGUAAUCGCGCAUCAGCCACGGCGCGGUGAAUACGUUCCCGGGCCUUGUACACACCGCCCGUCAAGCCAUGGGAGCCGGGGGUACCUGAAGUACGUAACCGCAAGGAUCGUCCUAGGGUAAAACUGGUGACUGGGGCUAAGUC
rnacentral:rRNA from 1 species